rnacentral:rRNA from 1 species
CGACAGAAGAUGGGAGCGUGCACCGGCAGGUCUGCUUUAAGAUUGGUGACCAGGCCAGAGACCCAAAAAACCACCCCCUGACCCUGGACGCCGGAUCCCCAAACCCUCCCCCUCCAGACCCCCUCGACGCGAGAUGGCCGACGACAACGGCGGCGGCGGCGGCGACGACUACGUCAGCGAGGCCGUCCGCCCCGAGGGUGAUACACAUACGCGUGAAGAGGGAUUGUCAAAAUCCAGGGAUCGAGACAGAGAAAAAGACAAGGAUAAGGAGCGCCAUAGGGACCGUGACAGAGAUAGAGGAAGAGACAGAGAUCGGGGUCGGGACAGGGAUCUAGACAAGGAUCGGGACAGGGACAAGGAUCGGGAUCGCCACCAAAGGCAUCACCGUGACAAAAGGGAGCACCGAGACCGUCCUGAUGAUCACGAUCGUCACAGAAGCCGUGAUUCUGAAAGGAGAAGGGACCGCGAGAGAGAUGGACAUCGCAGGCAUCGCUCUCGUUCACGGUCUCGUUCAAGGGGCAGGGAUGAUCACAGAUCUCGAUCUCAUUCAAAAAGCAAGCGAGUCAGUGGAUUCGACCUGGGACCAACAGCACAAUCCGUACUUCCUCAGUUCCCUACCAUUCCAACCCCAAGCAAUCUUGGGUCACUUGCCCCACUGCCGCCGAUGGAUGCACAGCCUACUGUAGCUUUAAUGUACAAGGAGGAAUCAGUGCUCCGGUUUGAUAUCGUCUUGUCCAUCUUCAGCUAGCAAGUAUUACAGAUUGCUAGCUUCAUGACUAUUACAUUUAUCCUUCCACACUUGUUGUUUGUUCUUUGACAUGAAAUACUGCACAGCUGGAUCCAUUUGAGAUCCAGACUGAUGGUGAGAAGUAAUCAGGUUUACAAGAGGAAUACUCUUUUGUGCUAAUUGUUUAUGCUUCCUACUAGAAAUUUAUUGGUACAUUGCAGGUCAGUUACCUGGCUCUUCUAUUCCUGGAAUGUUCCCGAACAUGCUCCCUUUUGCUGUUGGACAGUUCAAUCCCCUCGUCAUGCAGCCACAAGCCAUGACUCAACAGGCUACUCGGCAUGCUCGGCGUGUUUAUGUUGGUGGCCUUCCCCCAUCUGCUAAUGAACAGUCUGUUGCAAUAUACUUUAAUCAAGUCAUGGCUGCUAUUGGAGGAAACACUGCUGGUCCAGGUGAUGCUGUUCUUAAUGUGUACAUAAACCAUGACAAGAAAUUCGCUUUUGUGGAGAUGAGGUCUGUGGAGGAAGCAAGCAAUGCAAUGGCACUGGAUGGCAUUUUAUUUGAAGGUGCACCAGUGAAGGUUAGAAGACCAACAGACUAUAACCCUUCUCUGGCAGCUGCCCUGGGCCCAAGCCAGCCAAGCUCCAAUUUGAAUCUUGCUGCGGUUGGCCUAACACCAGGUUCAGCCGGAGGGUUAGAAGGCCCGGACCGUAUUUUUGUGGGUGGUCUCCCCUAUUACUUCACAGAGGCUCAAGUUCGGGAGCUGCUUGAAUCAUUUGGGCCUCUUCGAGGAUUUGAUCUUGUGAAAGAUAGGGAAACUGGUAACUCAAAGGGCUAUGCGUUCUGUGUCUACCAGGACCUCAAUGUCACUGACAUAGCCUGCGCUGCUCUAAAUGGUAUCAAGAUGGGAGACAAAACUCUUACGGUCAGACGAGCAAACCAGGGCUCAGCCCAACCUAGACCAGAGCAGGAAAGUAUCCUGUUGCAGGCACAGCAGCAGGUGCAGUUACAGAAACUUGUGUAUCAAGUUGGAGCGCUCCCUACAAAGGUUGUAUGCCUGACCCAGGUAGUUACUGCUGAUGAAUUAAAGGAUGAUGAAGAAUAUGAGGACAUUAUGGAGGACAUGAGGUUGGAAGCUGGGAAAUAUGGUAACUUGGUGAAAGUUGUCAUCCCGCGCCCUCAUCCGAGUGGAGAGCCAGUUUCUGGAGUUGGAAAGGUGUUCUUAGAGUAUGCAGAUGUUGAUGGUUCCACCAAAGCAAAGACGGCGAUGCAUGGAAGGAAAUUCGGUGGAAACCCAGUUGUUGCGGUCUUCUACCCCGAGAACAAGUUUGCUGAUGAGGACUAUGACGCGGCAGCAUAAAUUAUCUCUCUUUUCCAAUGACAAUAGUGCUUUCUGUAGUUUGUUCGAUUUACAGCAACGUUUUCCCUUCUAGUCGAGCUUUCUUGUAGCCCUGGAUUUAUGCAGAACCGCCAGUUAUUAAUAUUGGAAGAUAGAUUGCCUAAAGAUGAUCUAUUGGUCUUGUCCCUUAAUCUUGACUGGCGUUAGAGGUGCCAGGGUAUGCCAUUCUCUUCGUUUAGCGCCCUUGAAAGAUUAUUAGCAAGUAACUUUACCUUUAGCUUUACCCUGCAAAUGGCUCAAAAGAGUCAUCUUGAACAACUUGGCAUGGUAAAUAAGAUCCUGUUAUUACAUUACUACGGAAGAGCAGGACCUCUCACAGUCACUAUCAUAUAGUAUCAUUACGUGCCCAUGAUAUUACCUCCCCA